rnacentral:misc_RNA from 1 species
GAACGCACAUUGCGCCCGCCAGUAUUCUGGCGGGCAUGCCUGUUCGAGCGUCAUUUCAACCCUCAAGCCCAGCUUGGUGUUGGGGAUCGGCACAGGCGCCCUCGGGCGCCCGCCGUCCCCUAAAUCUAGUGGCGGUCCCGCUGCAGCCUCCUCUGCGUAGUAGUUUUUUCCUCGCAAGGGCAGCUCGGUGGCGACCUCGCCGUAAAACCCCCAACUUCUGAAAGGUUGACCUCGAAUCAGGUAGGAAUACCCGCUGAACUUAAG